rnacentral:lncRNA from 1 species
CAGUUCUCUUCCCAGCCCGAAGUCCAGCAGGUGUGAGGUCAGGCCCAGCCCAGGCCUCCUGCAGGGAGGACAGUCCCCAGAGCCAAGCAAGAGAGGUCCAGGCCCAGCGCACAAGUGUCGUGCCAACCUCUGCCCACAGCAGCUUAGGAGCAGCCCAUUGGCCAAGUGCAUCCGAGGCCGGCCCAGAGCCCAGAGGUGGAGACCAGUACCCGCCUCUUGAUGUAGGAGGUGAAGUCACCUUGCAGGGGGGCCAGGACACCGGGAGAGGAGGGAACGGGGCUCUUCCUACCAUAUGAGGACUUCUCCGAGCCAGCUUUCUGAGGGUUAACUGACGGCUGAUGGGUUCAAGAAGGAGGACACGGGCACAGGGACUCAGGGGCAGUGAGGGGCAGCAGGGCCGAUGGUGUGAGGAGCACCAGGGAGCAGGAGGGAACGGGCCUGGGGCGUGAAUCUGGCCCUACUGUCGGAUGAGUUCUCUUCCGCCACCCAAAUCUGGUCCGACCGUUAACAGCGUGGCCUUCGGCAAGUGACUAAAGGGCUUCCUGCCUCAGCUUUCCCACCCAUAAACA